rnacentral:piRNA from 1 species
UGCUCACAAGGGCUCUUCUUGUAUGCCCGUC